GUCAGAAUCUAUUUUCUUUGGGCAUUUCUACUGAAAUACAUAUUCUCAUAGCUAACCACAUAGCGGCAAUUGCAGGUCCAAGAUUCCAAGGACGUGUUCAGACACUUAGCCAAAUUUAUUUGCAGCUGGUGGUGGUAAUUACUCGGUUCAGAAGCUGAAUACAAGACCUCGUGAGCUAAAGUCACUUGAUGCAUUUAGUUUAAAUAGAAGAGGAAGCAACAGGCAGAGGGCAUGCUGACCAGGAUCCUGAUGCGCCGCUGCUCUCGUGACGGUCACCUCCGUCCCCAAUCUUCUGGUGCUUCGCAGCUCGCUGAUGCAUGACUGCUUUCCGCUGAGCAAAGGCUCCAGGGCGGACAAGAGUGCACAGACUAUGAUGUGCGCGUAUGGCACAAGCAAGAGAAGGACAUGGAGCAGGCGACGAAUCGGCAGUAGAGUCCAUGGGAGCAUGAUAGGCUGCUCGCCUGUGUCGAUAGGCUGAAUUGGGGAGCAGAGCUGGUGGGACUUGGGAGUAGUAGUAGAGAUGGCAAAAGGGAACCGGAUUAUCAGGGCCAGAAACGCUGGGAAUGCAUGCGCUGUCACUCUUGCCAUGCAUAGUGUAUGCCAGAAGGAUGAUAAUGAGAAGUUAACAUUGUGUUAUCUUACACAAAUUAAUGUAACCUCUGUACACUGUACGUGCUUUCUGUUUCUUUAGUCAACCAAUAUAGAAAUUUAAAUUUA